rnacentral:rRNA from 1 species
UACGGAGGGUGCAAACGUUGCUCGGAAUCAUUGGGCGUAAAGCGCACGUAGGCGGCUCGUUAAGUCGGGUGUGAAAGCCCUCGGCUCAACCGAGGAAGUGCAUUCGAAACUGGCGAGCUUGAAUAUGGAAGAGGGUCGCGGAAUUCCCGGUGUAGAGGUGAAAUUCGUAGAUAUCGGGAGGAACACCAGUGGCGAAGGCGGCGCCUGGGCCAAUAUUGACGCUGAGGUGCGAAAGCGUGGGGAGCAAACAGG